UUUAAUAUAAAAUCAUUUCAAAAUUAUUAUAAAUGAAUAAAUGCUUUAUUUUAAAUUUAAAUCAUAAAUUUUUUAGAUCUAGAUAUUUAAAAAAUUCUUAUAUAUGGAUACGCUUCCGACACGUAUUCGCUUCCUAAUUUUUUUGAAAAUUUUGCUUAUACACUUCUGCUUCCACGUAAUAUAGCUUUUAACUUCUUUUACACUUAUACAUACUUUGAACUUUGCAUGUACUUUAUUCUUUGUAAUUUACAUCAAAACCAUUGUACGUAAACACACCUAAAAUUCAACAUUGCAGAAAAUUACCGCCGCACUCUUUUUACAAUCUCCCUCUCUUGUUCUCUUAAAAUCAGCCACUAAACCCACCUUCUUCUCUCCUCACCUCCUCCAACUCUCUUUGCUGAAAACGAUGGUGAUACCAAUGGCUCCAAGUUUGACUCGGUGAGAAACGAAGCAAGGUUCAUGAAUUUAGAAGAGGCUUGCGAGACAGGGAGUGAUAUCGAUGGCCAUGCACAACAAGGUACAAGGAUAUGAAGAUACGGCACCGUUUCAACAACCUGCUGUCCACAAAUCCCUUCUGCUCUCCAGUCUCCACGAUGACCUUUACUUAAUAACCUCUAACCACAUAUCCUCUCUGUAUCUGACCACACUAGGCCUGACCCUAAGCUUUGUCCUCUAGGAGAGACACCUGACCACAUAAUUUCUUCACUUAACCUUUUUAGUAUCCACGUAAACACUGACACCAACACAUCUAUAUCUGACCACACAUCACCUGGCUCCAAAACUAAUCUUCCACAUGAGUCCCCUCAUAAGUCGUCUGACCCUAACCACAUAACCACCUUUAGUCACAAGCCCACUUGUCUUUUGGAGUAAUUUCGACUUAAAAAUACACACCACAAGCUCAAAGUCCACUUCAUGUACAAAAUAACUUAAAGUGUUAUGUUUAGAGCUUAAAGUAUGUCAAACUAUAAACCACUCUUUAAACUUUUAAUCGUGUGACCGUUGAAAACAAAGUGAUCAUAUAUAUAAAAGAUCUUCAGGCUCAAAUGAAAUAAAAGAUCUUCUUCUACAGAAUUAUUAUCUCCUCCCCGUUGCCUUGGGUGAGGGCAUGAUUAAAGGGGUUCUUAGGGUGGGGUUCUUAGCGGAAUAUAAAAUACCGUCUUUUAAUUUUUAACUAAAAAAUCUAAGAACUCCACCUUAAGAACUCUCCAUUAAUCAUGCUCUCAUGAUGAAUGGCGCUAGAAAAUCUCCCCGCUCUUUUGGUUGACUUCCUCUAAAUCAUAUCGCCUCUCUAUAUUCAAUAUUUCUCAAAGAAAUGGCGAGAUCGACUGAACACAUACAAAAGUGCAGAGGCGUAUAGGCAAAGGGUAAAGUAAUCGAUUCUUAGAGAGACGAUCCGAUCCCUCUUCAGGUCCGAAGCUUUUUCUAGAAUUUUCGUUUUAAAAGGUUUUGAUCCCUGCUAAUGUUUUUUAUCACCGGAUUGUUCCGGUUUCUUAAUUAGGAUCCGUGCAGUUUGAUACCAAUCUUGAAGGAAUACAUCAUCAGCCUAAAAGUCAUUGUGGGAUCAGGAGAAAGACUCGUGUUCAAAUGGUUGCUUCUACUUGUCAAGUCUCAGCCAAACAACACUGCUGUCUCUCCUUCAGAUUGCUGCUAGUUUGAAACUUGUGCUGGCUAGAAAGGAGAACGAGUCGGAUCAACCUUCUAAGAAGAAAGUCACUUGGCGUCUCUUCUUCAUUCUCUGAAUCAGCAUAAGUCAUCACAGAUUGAUGAAGUCAACAGCAUUGAGGGUCAAAGCGACUCUGCAUGGAGCGCUGACUGACUUCCACGGCCUAGUUGGUUCACCGUCAUGGAAAAUCCCGUCUACAUAUGGGAAAGAGGAGGAAAUGGAGAUUAGUGAUAAACACGAAGACGAGAUCACAAAAACAGCUCGAUAAGCGAGAGUGUCUAGGUCUAGCUUGAAACGUGAACCAUCAUCACGAAGCGUAGAGAACAAGGAAAAUACAGGGUUCCGACUCCAUCCAAUGACUUCUCGAACGAUACGGGGUGAAAAGUGUUGAUUGAUCUCUCUGCAAUGCGUCUUUUCCACGCUACGUCUUCAUGGUUCUCGUUGGUAUGUGUUCUUGUGAUCCGAUCACUGUGUUGCCGCUUCCAAGUUUAUAUAGGUUUGGUUCGAAAUUGCAUUGGUGGUGGCUUUUGUAAUCCGAUUCUUUUUUUUUUCAGAUUGUAGAGGAUGCUUGCUUUGAUCGGAAGGUGCCUUGCUUCGUUCUUCACUUAGGUCUUCUCUUUUACCUUUUACUUAAAUUUUUAUUUUUCGUUUUUUUUUUCUUUCCCUAAACAUGUUUUUUUUUUUGUUUGAUUAUUUAUGUUAAAUAUUAUUUUUUUGGAAAAUAUAGAAACCAAACUUAAGUUUUCAAGAUUUUUAGGGAGAAUUUUAUAAUAACUAGAUUGAUUAUGAAAACUUAUGAGUAAAUUUGUGGCAAACAAAUAAAAUAUAAUAUCAUGUCUUUAAGAUCGUUAGAGAUAUUAUGAUUUAUUUGAUUUAACACUUAUGAUCACAAAGUUAUUUCUAAUCAAUCUAACAAUUAUAAAAAAGUUUUUUUCUUUUCUUUUUUUUUUGCCUUUUCUUUUGAUUUAAAACAUAACCUUCAAGAGUUUUAGGAAAUUUUUUUAUAUAUCUAGAAUGAGCAUGAAAACUUAUGUAUAAAUUUGUGAUAAACAAAU